GCGACCCCAGGUCAGGCGGGACUACCCGCUGAGUC
rnacentral:rRNA from 1 species